rnacentral:rRNA from 1 species
GCAUCCAACGCGUUGGGAGCUCUCCCAUAUGGUCGACCUGCAGGCGGCCGCGAAUUCACUAGUGAUUCGUAUUACCGCGGCUGCUGGCACGGAGUUAGCCGGAGCUUAUUCUCCCGGUACUGUCAUUAUCAUCCCGGGUAAAAGAGCUUUACACCCUAAGGCCUUCAUCACUCACGCGGCAUUGCUGGAUCAGGCUUGCGCCCAUUGUCCAAUAUUCCCCACUGCUGCCUCCCGUAGGAGUCUGGGCCGUGUCUCAGUCCCAGUGUGGCUGAUCAUCCUCUCAGACCAGCUAAGGAUCGUCGCCUUGGUGCGCCUCUACCACACCAACUAGCUAAUCCUACGCGGGCUCAUCCUCAGGCGAUAAAUCUUUGGACUUAACGUCAUCAUCCGGUAUUAGCCAUCGUUUCCAAUGGUUAUUCCGAACCUGAGGGCAGAUUCCCACGCGUUACGCACCCGUGCGCCACUAGACCCGAAGAUCUCGUUCGACUUGCAUGUGUUAGGCAUGCCGCCAGCGUUCGUUCUGAGCCAUGAUCAAACUCUAAUCGAAUUCCCGCGGCCGCCAUGGCGGCCGGGAGCAUG